AUGGCGCGCGCUUUCGUGCGCUCCAUCUCCUUCCCUCUCAGCCCCUCGAGGUCUCCCAAGGCGCGCGCUCCGUCGUCGUCGUACCACGGGCGGUCCGUGAGCCUGCCGUGCCGGUCGCAUCCGAUUCUGGCGCACCUCCACACCCACAUCCGCGCGGUGCGCGCCUGGUCGCAGCAGGGCCUGGCAGCGUUGGUCUCCUCCGUGGCCGCGGGGCUCGCGCACGUCGACGCGCUCCACGCCGCGCUUGGCGACCUGCUCGACCUGCCCGAGGCCCAGGACGCGCUCUCCGGAGCCGGUGGCGUCGACCGCCUCCUCGACUCCUUCCUCCGCCUUGCUGACGCGCACGGCUGCUUCCAAGAGACCGUAGUGGCGCUCAAGCAGGACGUCGCCGGGGCGCUGACCGCCGUGCGCCGCCGCGACGGGGCGCGCCUGGCGUCGGCCGUGCGGACGCAGCGCUGGGCCGGCAAGGAGCUCGCUGGCCUUGCCGCUGCGGCCAGGGAGUGCGCCGUCAGGCCAUCGCGACUGAGUAUCCUCGGCGGAGGCCAAGGCAGCGCUGCGGAGGUCGAGGUGACCGGGCUGCUGAUGGAGUCUGCAGCGGCCACGGCGUCGGCGUCUGCCGCGCUGUUCGCGGCCGUGGCGGCCAUGUCCGGGUCCGUGGAGGCGGAGUCGUGCUCAUGCAAGGGCACGGCGGCGCUGGUGUGCCUGGUGAAGAAGAGCAAGAAGUCGUCGGCGCCGGGGUGUGAGAGGCUGGAGGAGCUGGAGGAGUGCAUCGAGGAGCUAGAGGCCGGCAGCGAGAAGGUGUUCCGGAGCCUCGUGCAGACCAGGGUCGCCCUCCUCAACAUCCACACCCUGCACAUCUUCUAA
rnacentral:rRNA from 1 species